AUUGAACGCUGGCGGCAGGCCUAACACAUGCAAGUCGAGCGGAUGAAGGGAGCUUGCUCCUGGAUUCAGCGGCGGACGGGUGAGUAAUGCCUAGGAAUCUGCCUGGUAGUGGGGGAUAACGUCCGGAAACGGGCGCUAAUACCGCAUACGUCCUGAGGGAGAAAGUGGGGGAUCUUCGGACCUCACGCUAUCAGAUGAGCCUAGGUCGGAUUAGCUAGUUGGUGGGGUAAAGGCCUACCAAGGCGACGAUCCGUAACUGGUCUGAGAGGAUGAUCAGUCACACUGGAACUUAGACACGGGCCAGACUCCUACGGGAGGCAGCAGUGGGGAAUUUUGGACAAUGGGCGAAAGCCUGAUCCAGCCAUGCCGCGUGUGUGAAGAAGGUCUUCGGAUUGUAAAGCCCUUUUAGUUGGGAGGAAAGGGAGUAAGUUAAUACCUUGCGGUUUUGACGGUACCAACAGAAUAAGCACCGGCUAACUUCGUG
rnacentral:rRNA from 1 species